rnacentral:rRNA from 1 species
AGUGAACGCUGGUGGUAGGCCUAACACAUGCAAGUCGAACGGCAGCACAGUAAGAGCUUGCUCUUACGGGUGGCGAGUGGCGGACGGGUGAGGAAUACAUCGGAAUCUACUUUUUCGUGGGGGAUAACGUAGGGAAACUUACGCUAAUACCGCAUACGACCUACGGGUGAAAGCAGGGGAUCUUCGGACCUUGCACGAUUGAAUGAGCCGAUGUCGGAUUAGCUAGUUGGCGGGGUAAAGGCCCACCAAGGCGACGAUCCGUAGCUGGUCUGAGAGGAUGAUCAGCCACACUGGAACUGAGACACGGUCCAGACUCCUACGGGAGGCAGCAGUGGGGAAUAUUGGACAAUGGGCGCAAGCCUGAUCCAGCCAUACCGCGUGGGUGAAGAAGGCCUUCGGGUUGUAAAGCCCUUUUGUUGGGAAAGAAAAGCAGCAGGUUAAUACCCCGCUGUUCUGACGGUACCCAAAGAAUAAGCACCGGCUAACUUCGUG